rnacentral:rRNA from 1 species
AACGAACGCUGGCGGCAUGCCUAACACAUGCAAGUCGAACGGCAGCACGGGAGCAAUCCUGGUGGCGAGUGGCGAACGGGUGAGUAAUAUAUCGGAACGUGCCCGGUCGUGGGGGAUAACGUAGCGAAAGCUACGCUAAUACCGCAUACGAUCUACGGAUGAAAGCGGGGGAUCGCAAGACCUCGCGCGAUUGGAGCGGCCGAUAUCAGAUUAGGUAGUUGGUGAGGUAAAGGCUCACCAAGCCGACGAUCUGUAGCUGGUCUGAGAGGACGACCAGCCACACUGGGACUGAGACACGGCCCAGACUCCUACGGGAGGCAGCAGUGGGGAAUUUUGGACAAUGGGCGCAAGCCUGAUCCAGCAAUGCCGCGUGCAGGAUGAAGGCCUCGGUUGUAACUAGCUUUUGUACGGUAGCGAACGGUGAGGCUCUAAUACAG